UGUGCAAGUGACGAUAAACAGACAGGGACAUCAGCACUCCGGUAUUGGAGUAUGAUGAGUUGUCUUUGGGAAUCUCUCUGAUGCACA